rnacentral:rRNA from 1 species
AUUGAACGCUGGCGGCAGGCCUAACACAUGCAAGUCGAGCGGAUGAAGGGAGCUUGCUCCUGGAUUCAGCGGCGGACGGGUGAGUAAUGGCUAGGAAUCUGCCUGGUAGUGGGGGAUAACGUCCGGAAACGGGCGCUAAUACCGCAUACGUCCUGAGGGAGAAAGUGGGGGAUCUUCGGACCUCACGCUAUCAGAUGAGCCUAGGUCGGAUUAGCUAGUUGGUGGGGUAAAGGCCUACCAAGGCGACGAUCCGUAACUGGUCUGAGAGGAUGAUCAGUCACACUGGAACUGAGACACGGUCCAGACUCCUACGGGAGACAGCAGUGGGGAAUAUUGGACAAUGGGCGAAAGCCUGAUCCAGCCAUGCCGCGUGUGUGAAGAAGGUCUUCGGAUUGUAAAGCACUUUAAGUUGGGAGGAAGGGCAGUAAGUUAAUACCUUGCUGUUUUGACGUUACCAACAGAAUAAGCACCGGCUAACUUCGUG